AUGUCUAGUCCUUGGUCACAAAGUGCAGCGUAUCGGCUGGCUGAGGGCCGCACCUUCUUUGGCUUGGUUGUCUGAGGUGGUUGUUGCCACUGAGCUGUAGAUUAAAAAGGAAAGACAAAAUGUUAGCUCUCUUGAGCUGUGCAUCAAAGCAUGCCAGAUGCUCAAUUAACCCUUUGUAAGGGGUUACUAACUUUGUAAAGAAGUUACUAACUUCUGAGCAGCAGAAAACCAUUAUAUCAAAGGAUAUAUCAUCAUUGAAAUUACACAGGGGGAGAUUAUUCUAAGACAGUCUAACCUCACUCGGUCAGUGUUGUAUGUGAGUGACUCAUUCUCUUUCUUCCAAAAUAUCUGAGGAGAUGGCUCCCCCGAGAUUCGACACUCCAGUCGCACCGGGAAUCCCUCAGUCACACCUGUGUUUUGUAGCUUUUCUAUAAACACAGGUGCUUUUUGUACUUCCUUAGCUGUGAAAAUAAAGAUUGCAGUUAUGUUGACACUA